rnacentral:rRNA from 1 species
AUUGAACGCUGGCUGCAGGCCUAACACAUGCAAGUCGAACGAGUGGCGGACGGGUGAGUAAUGUCUGGGAAACUGCCUGAUGGAGGGGGAUCACUACUGGAAACGGUAGCUAAUACCGCAUACCAUCAGAUGUGCCCAGAUGGGAUUAGCUAGUUGGUGGGGUAACGGCUCACCAAGGCGACGAUCCCUAGCUGGUCUGAGAGGCUGACCAGCAACACUGGAACUGAGACACGGUGCAGACGCCUACGGGGGGCAUAAGUGGGGAAUAUUGCACAAGGGGCGCAAGCCUGAUGCAGACAUGCCGCGUGUAUGAAGAAGGCCUUCGGGUUGUAAAGUACUUUCAGCGGGGAGGCGUUACCCGCAGAAGAAGCACCGGCUAACUCCGUGCCAGCAGCCGCGGUAAUUC